AGCGAACGCUGGCGGCAGGCCUAACACAUGCAAGUCGAACGGAUCCUUCAGGAUUAGUGGCGGACGGGUGAGUAACACGUGGGAACGUGCCCUUUGGUCCGGAACAACUCAGGGAAACUUGAGCUAAUACCGGAUGUGCCCUUCGGGGGAAAGAUUUAUCGCCAUUGGAGCGGCCCGCGUCUGAUUAGCUAGUUGGUGAGGUAAAGGCUCACCAAGGCGACGAUCAGUAGCUGGUCUGAGAGGAUGAUCAGCCACAUUGGGACUGAGACACGGCCCAAACUCCUACGGGAGGCAGCAGUGGGGAAUCUUGCGCAAUGGGCGAAAGCCUGACGCAGCCAUGCCGCGUGAAUGAUGAAGGUCUUAGGAUUGUAAAAUUCUUUCACCGGGGACGAUAAUGACGGUACCCGGAGAAGAAGCCCCGGCUAACUUCGUGCCAGCAGCCGCCGUAAGAC
rnacentral:rRNA from 1 species